CCUACGGGAGGCAGCAGUGGGGAAUUUUGGACAAUGGGCGAAAGCCUGAUCCAGCGACGCCGCGUGGAGGACGAAGGUCUUCGGAUUGUAAACUCCUUUUGCAGGGGACGAAAAAAAUGACGGUACUCUGCGAAUAAGCCACGGCUAACUACGUGCCAGCAGCCGCGGUAAUACGUAGGUGGCGAGCGUUACUCGGAAUCACUAGGCGUAAAGCGCGUGUAGGCGGUAUUUUAAGUCUGUUGUGAAAUCUUAUGGCUCAACCAUAAAAUGUCGACAGAUACUGAAGUACUAGAGUGAGGCAGGGGAAACUGGAAUUCCCGGUGUAGGGGUAAAAUGCGUAGAUAUCGGGAGGAACACCAGUGGCGAAGGCGGCUCUCUGGGUAAUGACUGACGCUGAGGCGCGAAAGCGGGGGGAGCAAACAGGAUAAGAUACCCGGGUAGU
rnacentral:rRNA from 1 species